UUACGGGAGGCAGCAAUUAGGAAUCUUGCACAAUGGACGAAAGUCUGAUGCAGCGACGCCGCGUGAAGGAUGAAGGCCUUCGGGUUGUAAACUUCUUUUAAGGGGGAAGAAACAAAUGACGGUACCCCUUGAAUAAGCCCCGGCUAACUACGUGCCAGCAGCCGCGGUAAUACGUAGGGGGCGAGCGUUGUCCGAAUUUACUGGGCGUAAAGCGCGCGUAGGCGGACUUUUAAGUCGGUGGUGAAAUCUCAGGGCUCAACCCUGAAACUGCCGCCGAAACUGGGAGUCUUGAGGUAUGGAGAGGGAAGUGGAAUUCCUGGUGUAGCGGUGAAAUGCGUAGAUAUCAGGAGGAACACCCGUGGCGAAGGCGGCUUCCUGGCCAUAUCCUGACGCUGAGGUGCGAAAGCUAGGGGAGCGAACGGGAUUAGAUACCCUGGUAGG
rnacentral:rRNA from 1 species